CACGUAGGCGGAACAGAAAGUCAGAGGUGAAAUCCCAGGGCUCAACCUUGGAACUGCCUUUGAAACUCCUGUUCUUGAGGUCGAGAGAGGUGAGUGGAAUUCCGAGUGUAGAGGUGAAAUUCGUGGAUAUUCGGAGGAACACCAGUGGCGAAGGCGGCUCACUGGCUCGAUACUGACGCUGAGGUGCGAAAGCGUGGGGAGCAAACA
rnacentral:rRNA from 1 species